CUACGGGGCGCUGCAGGCGAGAAAACUUUGCAAUGUGCGAAAGCACGACAAGGUUAAUCCGAGUGGUUUCUGCUAAAGGAACCUUUUGACAGUCCUAGAAACACUGUUGAAUAAGGGGUGGGCAAGUUCUGGUGUCAGCCGCCGCGGUAAAACCAGCACCUCAAGUGGUAAGGAUGAUUAUUGGGCCUAAAGCAUCCGUAGCCGGCUCUGUAAGUUUUCGGUUAAAUCUUUACGCUCAACGUACAGGCUGCCGGGAAUACUGCAGAGCUAGGGAGUGGGAGAGGUAGACGGUACUCGGUAGGAAGGGGUAAAAUCCUUUGAUCUAUUGAUGACCACCUGUGGCGAAGGCGGUAUACCAGAACACGUCCGACGGUGAGGGAUGAAAGCUGGGGGAGUAAACCGGAUUAGAUACCCCGGUAGUC
rnacentral:rRNA from 1 species